rnacentral:rRNA from 1 species
AUCAGUUGUCCGACAGGGCAUGCUGAGCAGCCACGCACUACUGGAUAAGAGCUGAAAGCAUCUAAGCUCGAAGCCACCUUGAAAAAGAGGCAUCUUAGGACGCUCAUAAUUGAUGAGCUUGAUAGAACCGGGAUGU